rnacentral:rRNA from 1 species
UACGUAAUCCCCAAGUGGUACCCACGAAUAUUGGGCCUAAAGCGUUCGUAGCCGGUUGAACAAGUCCUUGGUGAAAAAGGGCACGCUUAACGUGUCCAAUGGCUAAGGAUACUGUUCGGCUAAGAGGCUAGUAGAGGUGCAUGGAAUUACGGGGGUAACGGUGAAAUGUUGUGGAUCCUCGUAGGACCACCGGUAGCGAAGGCGAUGCACCAGGAUAGACCUGACGGUGAGGAACGAAAGCUGGGGGAGCGACCCGG